AUCUAGCUGACGAGUCCCAAAUAGGACGAAGUGACGCGCGUACUGGUU
rnacentral:hammerhead_ribozyme from 1 species